rnacentral:rRNA from 1 species
CCUACGGGUGGCAGCAGUGAGGAAUAUUGGUCAAUGGACGAGAGUCUGAACCAGCAAAGUAGCGUGAAGGAUGACUGCCCUAUGGGUUGUAAACUUCUUUUAUAUGGGAAUAAAAUGUUCCACGUGUGGGAUUUUGUAUGUACCAUAUGAAUACGGAUCGGCUAACUCCGUGCCAGCAGCCGCGGUAAUACGGAGGACCCGAGCGUUAUCCGGAUUUAUUGGGUUUAAAGGGUGCGUAGGUGGAUUGUUAAGUCAGUUGUGAAAGUUUGCGGCUCAACCGUAAAAUUGCAGUUGAAACUGGCAGUCUUGAGUACAGUAGAGGUGGGCGGAAUUCGUGGUGUAGCGGUGAAAUGCUUAGAUAUCACGAAGAACUCCGAUUGCGAAGGCAGUUCACUGGACUGCAACUGACACUGAGGCUCGAAAGUGUGGGUAUCAAACAGGAUUAGAUACCCCAGUAGUC